GACGAACGCUGGCGGCGUGCUUAACACAUGCAAGUCGAACGCUGAAGCACCACCUUGCUGGUGUGGAUGAGUGGCGAACGGGUGAGUAAUACGUGAGUAACCUGCCCUUGACUCUGGGAUAAGCCCGGGAAACUGGGUCUAAUACUGGAUGCUACAUGUCACCGCAUGGUGGUGUGUGGAAAGUUUUUACUGGUCUUGGGUGGGCUCACGGCCUAUCAGCUUGUUGGGGAGGUAAUGGCUCACCAAGGGUUCGACGGGUACCCGGCCUGGGAGGGUGACCGGGCAACCUGGGACUGGGGAACGGCCCAGACUCCUAAGGGGGGCAGGAGGGGGGAAUAUUGCAAAAUGGGGGGGAGGCUGAUGCAGCGACGCCGGGUGGGGGGAGACGGCCUUCGGGUUGUAAACCUCUUUCAGCAGGGAAGGAGCCGCGAGUGACGGUACCUGCAGAAGAAGCACCGGCUAACUACGUG
rnacentral:rRNA from 1 species